UACGUAGGGUCCGAGCGUUGUCCGGAAUUACUGGGCGUAAAGAGCUCGUAGGUGGUUUGUCGCGUUGUUCGUGAAAACUCACAGCUCAACUGUGGGCGUGCGGGCGAUACGGGCAGACUUGAGUACUGCAGGGGAGACUGGAAUUCCUGGUGUAGCGGUGGAAUGCGCAGAUAUCAGGAGGAACACCGGUGGCGAAGGCGGGUCUCUGGGCCAAAACUGACGCUGAGGAGCGAAAGCGUGGGGAGCGAACAGG
rnacentral:rRNA from 1 species